CCCGUUAUAAAACUAGAGAAAAUGUAUAUUAUUAAAGGGUCCUCAAUUCCUCUUUUGGAUAGUAGUAAUAAUUAUAAUAAUUGCAUAUCCACCGGGUUGUCCCAAAGAUUGUAAAUAUAUCUAGUCAGAAUGCUGCGCAACCUGUUCAGCGGUUCAUUCGCGUAAAUGCUGAUUUAUUAUGGCCCACAUACUUUUUUGCCCCUUCCUUCCUCUGGUUACCAUUAAAGUUAUUAAACAAAGUGCAUAAAUUAACAAUAAUAAAGGAAUGGUAAAAUGUGAAACAACAUUGGGAUCAAUUUACAUGGUUCGUCUCUGCAUAAAUAAUAAAUAAAUAAUAUUGCUGGCUCAUUACAAUAAUAAAAAAAACACAGAGCACGGAGAGUUAAUUUAUCUAUCGACUGGUCUAUAAAAUGCAAACGAGUAGUAAAUUUAAUAAAUUCAUUAUCAGCUCAUUAACAACGGACACACGGGGCGUAUGCGCAACGAGCAAUUUGCAAUUAAAGUAUUUGCCCGACGAAAUAUAAAGAGGAAAACGCUGACUGCAAAAUGAAUAAUGCCGGCCAACAGUCUGUCCAAAAGCCUUAAAGCCAAUAAAUUUCUGCUUCCUGA